AGUUAUUUCAAAUUAUUUCUCCUCUUUCUGAAACAGACUAAAAAGAAGUACAAGAGAAACUAUGGAAAUUGCUUACAGGCCAGUACUCCUGGAGGGAAGUAUAGCACAAGGACUGCUGGACAAACAUCAUACCCUCAGCAACCUUGGACAUUGGCACCUUUUUACCACAGAGACCUAGUGUUUGUCUGAAGAAUGACGUCAUUCCUCCGUUUGUUUGGCUGCUGCAGUGACACUUUGGCCUUUACAUGGACAGGUUUAUGUUUUACUGAAGAUUAUUCAGAGCCACAUGUUGGGACCUGCCAUCUGCUGAAUUUGGAUACGAUGUCUGUAAAGCUGGUGUGAAAAUACAGAAAAUGAAACUCUGACUUUGGGAGAGAAACUACCCAUGCCUUUGUAACUGCAACUGUCUGUCACAGUUGAAAAAUUACAUUUUUAAUUUUGUGAAAUAUGUACCCUCUCUAUACAAAAGUAAGCCAAGGUUAAAUUCCACCACUCAGAGCUGCAAUUUACUUCAGGUCCAUGUUAAAAUACCUUUAUUUUGAUUGGAGAAGGGCCUGAGAAACCUGGUCUAAUAAGACCUGCUUUGAGUGCAAUUGGAUCAAAAUUGUAACAUCUGUGCCAACACAUGAACGUGGGAGUAUCCUUUGUCAAAUAUGGGUGAUGUGCACUUCUCUGACUUCUAAUUUCUACUAAAACAUGGAACGCCGAAAAGAGAAACAGGACUCAAUCUGCUUCUGGAAGAUUGGAAGGCAGCAGCAGGAGCCGUUUCUUGGGAUGCCCCAUUGGCAGGGUGGGCACUGUGCAAGUACCUGAGUAACUCUGAACAGCUCCCUGCAGGCUCAGCAAAGCAGCACUUCUGUUGUGAAGGUAUUUUGCUUUCUGCCAGGGGCAGUUGAAUGAACCACUCCAGCUGAGCUGUGAAUUACAGCUCCAGAAUGAGCAAGGAUCCUACACAACAACAGCACCUGAUCUAAUCUUUUCGUUGCCUAUGUGCUGAGGGAAAAUCAAGAUUGCCUGCCAGGAUGAUCUGGGUGUCAGUGGAGUGAGAGAGCUUCUUCAAUUCAUACACAUAUUCUCCAUUUAGCAUUAAGUGUUUCACUACAAGAGGAAGACAACUAGGGUAGGAACAUGACAAAACAAAAGUAAGUGAGAAUUUUUGUGCAGCAUAUAUAAGCAACUGAAACAUUUCUAUUCAAGUUCCUUCUGGUCAGGUGACAAUGGAAUUUCUUUACUACACUUGGGCAAAAUAGGAUCAGUGUCUCUCUCCCCAGAUGUGAGUCAUAAGUAUCCUAUUAUGCUACUUAGGAAAGAAGAACUAUCCAAUUCUAAUAACAAUAACAAUAACAAUAACAGAAAAAAAAAAAAAAAAGUAAUGCAACUUCUUUCAAUGGAAAAGCAAGAACUCACUGCAUUGGCUACAGCUCUAUGUGUGUUCAUUUUCUUUAGUCAGCUUGUCUGUCAAGAGAAAGACAUCCCAAAUAACAUAAACAGCAAUUGUUGGCUGGAUCAAGGAUGCUGUGGAGUGAUACGUUUCUGUGUGAUCUGAUCCACUGAGUGGAUAUCAUUAGGUAAAGUACCUGAUCUUAUCAAAUGCAGUUCCACUGUUGGCCCUAAUUGAUGUGAACCUUGCACAGCACCCUGCAGCACCACCCUUCAUUCCAGUUCAUGCCCACAGCAACAACGUAGACUACUUCACAAUACCUGAGAA